AUCUACAGCCAUGUUGCCUUGAACAAGCCCGAUCCCAUCUGAUCUCAGAAGCUAAGCAGGGUCAGGCCUGGUUAGUACUUAGAUGGGAGACCACCUACGAAGACCAGGUGCUAUAGGUG
rnacentral:rRNA from 1 species